rnacentral:rRNA from 1 species
AUUGAACGCUAGCGGGAUGCCUUACACAUGCAAGUCGAACGGAGUGGCGAACGGGUGAGUAAUGUAUCGGAACGUGCCCAGUAGCGGGGGAUAACUACGCGAAAGCGUAGCUAAUACCGCAUCCUCUCGCAGCGGCCGAUAUCGGAUUAGCUAGUUGGUGGGGUAACGGCUCACCAAGGCGACGAUCCGUAGCUGGGUUGAGAGGACGACCAGCCACACUGGGACGGAGACACGGCCCAGACUCCUACGGGAGGCAGCAGUGGGGAAUUUUGGACAAUGGGGGAAAGCCUGAUCCAGCCAUGCCGCGUGUACGAUGAAGGCCCUAGGGUUGUAAAGCACUUUUGGCAGGAAAGCGGUACCUGCAGAAUAAGCACCGGCUAACUACGUGCCAGCAGCCGCGGUAAUAC